rnacentral:rRNA from 1 species
UUGAUUACGUCCCUGCCCUUGUACACACCGCCCGUCGCUGCCCGGGACUGAGCCAUUUCGAGAAAAUCGGGGAUUGCUGAUUUCUGUUCUUUCGGGAACAGACUUUGGCGAAAACCGAUUUAAUCGCAGUGGCUUGAACCGGGCAAAAGUCGUAACAAGGUAGCUGUAGGUGAACCUGCAGCUGGAUCACUAACGAU